AACGAACGCUGGCGGCAUGCCUAACACAUGCAAGUCGAACGAGACCUUCGGGUCUAGUGGCGCACGGGUGCGUAACGCGUGGGAAUCUGCCUUGGGGUUCGGAAUAACUCCCCGAAAGGGGUGCUAAUACCGGAUGAUGUCGAAAGACCAAAGAUUUAUCGCCCUGAGAUGAGCCCGCGUAGGAUUAGCUAGUUGGUGUGGUAAAGGCGCACCAAGGCGACGAUCCUUAGCUGGUCUGAGAGGAUGAUCAGCCACACUGGGACUGAGACACGGCCCAGACUCCUACGGGAGGCAGCAGUGGGGAAUAUUGGACAAUGGGCGAAAGCCUGAUCCAGCAAUGCCGCGUGAGUGAUGAAGGCCUUAGGGUUGUAAAGCUCUUUUACCC
rnacentral:rRNA from 1 species